rnacentral:rRNA from 1 species
GGAUCCAGACUUUGAUUCUGGCUCAGGAUGAACGCUAGCUACAGGCUUAACACAUGCAAGUCGAGGGGAAACGACAUCGAAAGCUUGCUUUUGAUGGGCGUCGACCGGCGCACGGGUGAGUAACGCGUAUCCAACCUGCCCACCACUUGGGAAUAACCUUGCGAAAGUAAGACUAAUACCCAAUGACAUCCCACGAAGGCAUCCGAAUGGGAUUAAAGAUUUAUCGGUGAUGGAUGGGGAUGCGUCUGAUUAGCUUGUUGGCGGGGUAACGGCCCACCAAGGCAACGAUCAGUAGGGGUUCUGAGAGGAAGGUCCCCCACAUUGGAACUGAGACACGGUCCAAACUCCUACGGGAGGCAGCAGUGAGGAAUAUUGGUCAAUGGACGCGAGUCUGAACCAGCCAAGUAGCGUGCAGGAUGACGGCCCUAUGGGUUGUAAACUGCUUUUAUAAGGGAAUAAAGUGAGUCACGUGUGACUUUUUGCAUGUACCUUAUGAAUAAGGACCGGCUAAUUCCGUGCCAGCAGCCGCGGUAAUACGGAAGGUCCGGGCGUUAUCCGGAUUUAUUGGGUUUAAAGGGAGCGUAGGCCGGAGAUUAAGCGUGUUGUGAAAUGUAGAGGCUCAACCUCUGCACUGCAGCGCGAACUGGUCUUCUUGAGUACGCACAACGUGGGCGGAAUUCGUGGUGUAGCGGUGAAAUGCUUAGAUAUCACGAAGAACUCCGAUUGCGAAGGCAGCUCACGGGAGCGCAACUGACGCUGAAGCUCGAAAGUGCGGGUAUCGAACAGGAUUAGAUACCCUGGUAGUCCGCACGGUAAACGAUGGAUGCCCGCUGUUGGCCUGAAUAGGUCAGCGGCCAAGCGAAAGCAUUAAGCAUCCCACCUGGGGAGUACGCCGGCAACGGUGCAACUCAAAGGAAUUGACGG